rnacentral:lncRNA from 1 species
CUUUAAUUCAGUUUCCUGUCAGUUCACUUAUCUCCCAGCUUUCAGUCGUUUAAUCUUUUGCCGUUAUUUACUGACAACAUGUGAAAGAUAUCACUGGUUUAUUUCUAUAUGAAUAAUCUUACUGAUAAUAUUGAUUGAAGUGUAUUGGAAGUGAUGUAAUCAUGAGACUCUCCAGCAGACUGUUCCACAAACGGGGACCAUAGAAACUGAAAGCCGCCUCCUCGUGAGUUUUUGCAAACUUUGUAAGAUUUCUGAGGUUUUGUUUUCACACUUCAAGCCUCCAGUUUACUCCCUCUGUUCCUUUUUUUUUCCUUUUAUAGACGGCCCCAGAGUGAGACGGUGAAGUCGAGUUUCAACUGCAAGAAUCUCCCCAGACGGAUGAGACAUAAGAACAAGCUGAAGCUGAACUCAACUUCACACACUUGAGACGAUACAAAGACUCAAACCGCUUCAGUCUAGAGGGUCAGAGGUCAGGUCUGAAAAACACCCCAAAAUCAAAACACUGUGAACUUCAAGAUGACCUGAGAGGGCUGUAUCUACUUUGUCCACUAGAUGGCGGACUAGAGCUGAAAAUAAUUUGCUCAGAUAAGAAUAACAGGAACCUUUAGAGUUUAUUUUAAUCUGUUUUAGGACCAAAUCAGAGGUUUUCUUGGACAUUCAGAUCUUUAAUAGUACAUGGUUACUGCACAAGAAUUAUCACACUGUUGAUUCUCACUGAGGGAUUUAUGAGCAUAGGUGUCCAUGUUCAUGUUUUCUGUGGACCAUUUCUUCUGUUUAUUAAAUCAAGUUUGGCUACAAGUAAUAAUGUGAUGUUUAAGUUUAUGUAAACGUUCCUACUUUCCUUAAAUCUACCACAAAUGUUUAGCUCGAGUAAACGGCGUGUUACAUAGAUAAUUUAAUUAUUCAUGGAGCACAGGAUGUUCUUCUUUUCUCAGUUUCUGACUGAAAAUUAAAAUGUUAAUUUGAGUUAAAAACUGUGUGAGGAAAGUAAAAACAUCUGAUUUAAGACCGAUUUAGAAAAAGCAAGUAAAAACAAACUUCUCAAAAACUAAAAUGAGAUUAAUCUUGAU